GGAGACAGCCUACAUGAAGAGUCAGCAAGGAGCAGGAAGGUAAAGUAAGAAAAGGAGAAGGAACAGAAAUGAGCAGGAAGGGACAUCAAGGAGCAGAAAGGGGCAGCAAGGAGCUGGAAGGGACAGCAAGGAGCACAAAAGGUAAAGUAGGAGAAGGAGCAGAAAGGAACAGAAAUGAACAGGAAGGGUCAGCAAGGAGCUGAAAGGUAAAGCAGCACAAAGGUAAAGUAGAUGGAGCAGAAAG